AACACCCACAAACAACGUCACGACGCAACGUGGUUAAACAGUACGUUUAUUAAAGUAACUGGGUGAACGACACCGGAGCGGACUGCAAAUCGCAACGCUACUCUCUCGAGUGCAGAUACUCUUCGAGACGGCUAAACAACGUGUCCAACUCGCUGAGACCUUUCCGCGUGCCGUUAUCCGAUUUCCUUUCCGCCUCCUGAGACAGCCGACUAAUCACGGACUUAUCUCCGCAACCUAACAGAGGCUGGGAGCCCGACAGCCUUUGACCACCGUACCGUCGAGCCACACGGAGUAGUCGUCCUCACGUUGCUACAAGAGGAAAACUACGUCACCCGACACGCGGAAAACAAAGACCGUCGCAAUAAACCGUACCUACGUGACCUACCAACGUAGGUUUUACUCGAUGAAAGGUGACGCGGAGAUCUUGCAAUCUGGUCGCGUAAUCCUCUGGACGACACUGCGGCUUUGUAUUCUUUAUCGUCGUCGUCGUUGCCGGCUUCGCCUCCUCGGAAGCGCCUAGAAAAAAGACGAUCAGGACCAGAGAGGAAGAGACCAUCACCGACAGCAUCGCCGCAGCAUGCCGCCCCAAUCCGCCGCCCAACUGCGCGUCCCAGGUACCACUCGUAGACUGUCAGCCUUACGAGGAGACACCGCGGACCGGGGAAACGGAUAAGUUUACGAACAAAAAUCUCAAGAGAAAGAUGCUGACCCGAUAAGUACUGUCACGGAGACACGGUGGUUUUUAUUGAAUUUCCAGUGUAUCGAGCCACCGUGAUGCAGGUACGGUGGUUUUAUGUGAAGUGCCGCUAUCUAUAGGCGAUGUGUUCCCUGACGGUGUGUGUUUUUUGGGGAUAGACAACGUGGUUCUUGUACGUGGUUUUUACCCUGCUCAAUAAAGUCACGUUUUCCUUACACGGUGUUGUGUC
rnacentral:sRNA from 1 species